rnacentral:ncRNA from 2 species
UAGGAGAAAUGAUGCGAGGAACUUAUGUAAAUAUCUGGGCACUUUGGGCAUAAGGGAGCGAGUGGUGCAACCGGCAUUUUUUUUA